rnacentral:rRNA from 1 species
CUACGGGUGGCUGCAGGCGAGAAAACUUUGCAAUGUGCGAAAGCACGACAAGGUUAAUCCGAGUGGUUUCUGCUAAAGGAACCUUUUGACAGUCCUAGAAACACUGUUGAAUAAGGGGUGGGCAAGUUCUGGUGUCAGCCGCCGCGGUAAAACCAGCACCUCAAGUGGUCAGGAUGAUUAUUGGGCCUAAAGCAUCCGUGGCCGGCUCUGUAGGUUUUCGGUUAAAUCUGUACGCUCAACGUACAGGCUGCCGGGAAUACUGCAGAGCUAGGGAGUGGGAGAGGUAGACGGUACUCGGUAGGAAGGGGUAAAAUCCUUUGAUCUAUUGAUGACCACCUGUGGCGAAGGCGGUCUACCAGAACACGUCCGACGGUGAGGGAUGAAAGCUGGGGGAACAAACCGGAUUAGAUACCCGCGUAGUC